rnacentral:rRNA from 1 species
AGAACUUUCCAGAGAUGGAUUGGUGCCUUCGGGAACUCUGAGACAGGUGCUGCAUGGCUGUCGUCAGCUCGUGUUGUGAAAUGUUGGGUUAAGUCCCGCAACGAGCGCAACCCUUAUCCUUUGUUGCCAGCGGUUAGGCCGGGAACUCAAAGGAGACUGCCAGUGAUAAACUGGAGGAAGGUGGGGAUGACGUCAAGUCAUCAUGGCCCUUACGAGUAGGGCUACACACGUGCUACAAUGGCGCAUACAAAGAGAAGCGACCUCGCGAGAGCAAGCGGACCUCAUAAAGUGCGUCGUAGUCCGGAUUGGAGUCUGCAACUCGACUCCAUGAAGUCGGAAUCGCUAGUAAUCGUGGAUCAGAAUGCCACGGUGAAUGCGUUCCCGGGCCUUGUACACACCGCCCGUCACACCAUGGGAGUGGGUUGCAAAAGAAGUAGGUAGCUUAACCUUCGGGAGGGCGCUUACCACUUUGUGAUUCAUGACUGGGGUGAAGUCGUAACAAGGUAGGCGUAGAUGA